rnacentral:rRNA from 1 species
AUGGGGCGGGAGGUGUCGGAGAGCUGCGUUGAUGGGGUGGUGAUGGAGAUGGUGGCUGCCUACUGCGGCCGCUUCUACGCCGCCAAGCCGGAGCUCGCCGCCGGUCGCAUUGAGGCCAUCGGCUUCCAGGUUGGCCAUCAGCUCUCCGAGAGGUACACGAUGGAGCGCCCUCGAUUUACUGAUCAUCUUGAGGCAAUCAAAUUUAUUUGCAAAGAUUUUUGGUCAGAACUGUUCAAGAAGCAGAUUGACAAUCUGAAAACAAAUCAUAGGGGUACCUUCGUUCUUCAAGAUAACCAUUUCCGGUGGCUUACUCGUGUUUCUCUAGAUCCAGCAGUAGAGAGCACUGAUGCAACUGAGAAUGACUCUGGGUCAUUGGGUGAUUCUGCAGCCCAAACAACAAGCAUGCUUUUAUAUUUCCCAUGUGGGUUAAUAAGAGGUGCUCUCACAAACUUGGGAAUUCCGUGUGCUGUCUCUGCAGAUAUGUCAAACCUUCCAGCAUGUUCUUUUGUGGUGCGCAUAAAGACAUGA